rnacentral:snRNA from 1 species
UUUACUAAAGAUUUCCGUGGAGAGAAACACUUUUGAGUGUCCUACCAAUUUUUUGAGGUCUUGCUUUGGCAAGACU